AAGCUACAAUGUGUAGGAUUUAGGGUGUUUCUCAGCAGAAAGGGAAUAUACUAUUCAUAACCAUGUGUUCAUUAGUGUGUAAUUCCUGUAA